rnacentral:lncRNA from 1 species
AAGAUUCAACUGAUCCACGAGCAGCAGACGGUCAAAAAUAUCGAGGCAGAGUCUGAAGUCCUGAGGAGGAGGAUUCAAGAGUCAGAGGGCGAGAGCCGGUGGUUUCACCAGAUGUACCAGGAUAUGCUACUGAGAAAGAUGGAACUAGAGGAAGAAGUUGAAAACUUAAGGCAAUCCAUAGUAAGCAUCGGGACCGAGAGCUCGAAGUCGGAAGAAACUGGGCUUCCUUAGAGCCUCUCUUUUUUUUAUCUUUCCAUGAAUUUUUUUUCUUUUCUUGUCAUUUCUCCCUUUUUUUUUUGGCCUUCAAGGCUUUGCAAUGUAUACUUUGUGAGAAAAAUUCAGUGUAGGCGUAAAAUGAUAAUUUUAAAACUUUUUCAAAAUUAUGAUUUUACAGUGAAAAAAUAUUAAUUAAUCUAAUUAAUUAACAUAAAUUUAUCCUACACUAAGAUCUAAAUAUGAUAUAUAGCAUGCAUUCAUUUAAAUUUGAAAUUCAAAUUCGAACAGUAAAUACUUUACUGUAAUGUGUUCAGAACACAAUACCUUUGUGCGGAUAGUAGAUCGCCGCAAUCUGAUCAUCGUCGGG